GACUGACAGAUUUAAGAGGAGAAACGCAUGUAUUAUCCUCAACUCUCCACCACACCUUCCAAUCAAAUUAAAAAAAUCUUGAGUGCUUCUCCGUCGGGCCGUCCAUGCCGUCAACAACCUCACGACCAUUCUUCUCCCUGCCCAGUCUCUUCCCCUUCCCGUCUUUAUCUCCCAUGCUUUCCCAAUAUCUCUCUCCCAUGGUAUGAGCGCCUACGGGUGAGGGAAGCGACAUGUUGUCGAAAGGUACCUCCAGUUCCAUUGCUCACAUGUGCGUCCACCGAGACGUGGGAGAAAGCGGUCAACACAGAGAGGAUCUAUGAGGCGAUGUCGAUGGAUUAUAGGCAGUGGCACAUGUUCCUUCCGUAGAGGCGGGGGUUCUUUGUCACUGUCUUAGACUGAAGCUCUCGCGACUACGAAGCCGUCAUGUCUGGGAAUAUUGCAAUUCAUGUUUGGUGAUGCAAAUUGGACAAGUUUUCCACGGUUUACUUGUGAUUCAUGUGAAUGCACAUUAGAAAACUACUGUGAAUCGGUAGUCUCCUAACCUCCAACAUAUAAGUGGUUCCUUUCAGCUUCAGCUGACAUUAUAUUAUCCUCCAAAAAUGCAUGCUAUUGUUUGUAACACUUGAAAAUAUAAGAUAUCUGCAGGGUGUACAUAGUUACAAAUUGUCAUUAUCAUUUAGAUGUUUUAAUACAAUUCAUGAAGUAUUAUUCUCAUGUCCUAUUUGCAUCAAUUUCCUGUCAAAUAAAAUAAUUUUUUUAUG